GAUGAACGCUAGCUACAGGCUUAACACAUGCAAGUCGAGGGGCAGCAUGGCGAGUGCUUGCACUUGUUGAUGGCGACCGGCGCACGGGUGCGUAACGCGUAUCCAACCUUCCCGUAGUAGGGCACAGCCCGGCGAAAGUCGGAUUAAUUCCCCUAUGUUCUCCAAUGCAGACAUCUAAGUUGGAGCAAAGAUUCAUCGCUAUGGGAUGGGGAUGCGUCUGAUUAGGUUGCAGGCGGGGUAACGGCCCACCUGGCCAACGAUCAGUAGGGGUUCUGAGAGGAAGGUCCCCCACAUUGGAACUGAGACACGGUCCAAACUCC
rnacentral:rRNA from 1 species